AACGAAGUAUUUUAUUUAGAAUAAUUAUUUUGCGUAUAAUAGGAAGAGUAUUAAUUCUCUUUGUUA
rnacentral:tRNA from 1 species